UGCCUCUGGUUGCCCAGGAGGGGAAAGCCAUGCAGCGCGCAGAGGCCGGAAAGCCUUUAAUUAAAUUCAACCACUGUAGGAAAUACAUCUACAGCUUCAGUGUGCCGCGAUGCUGCCCCCUCUGCCGGCAGGAUGUGGGCUCCAGGAAGCUGGAGGAAGCACCUGUUAGCAUCUCCAAUCCUUUUACCAAUGGGCAUCAAGAAAAAUGUUCAUUCCUCCUCAGACCAACUCAAGGGACGUUUCUUAGGGAGUAUGAUGGAAAUUCUGAUCUUCAUGUUGGAAUAACCAACACAAAUGGAGUUGUCUAUAAUUACACCAUUCACGGUGUCCAGCGAGACGAGGCAGGCUGGGAGCAGAGUAUAAGUAUCCCAUUAUUGCAGCCUGGCAUGUUUGGACUGAUGGACCAGUGGGACAAAUACCUGGAAGACUUCUCCAUCACAGGGGCCUGGCUGCCUCACAGGUAUGAAGAAAACUGCCACAACUGUUACAGUUACACCCUUACAUUUAUUAACUGCAUUCUGACCACUGAAGGUAAGGAGCAACUGGACAAGUAUGAGUUCACGGAGAAAUUCGUGGUCCCAAGGACCAGGAAGGCUUCUAAGUACAUCACACUUUACCGGGCAAUAGAAGAGCGUGGCUUCUACGUGAUCGACCACCCGGGCCAAGAGCCAAGCCCUCCUCCAGGAAGUGGUUUGUGCUGAGAGUGCUGUGUAACAUCAGAGUGAAACAGAAUUUCCCUGCUGCGGGACUCAUCUUCUUGGGACCUGAGUAUCCAAACUCCUCACUGAAUAGAAGCUGAAGUCCCAGCACGGGGCUCUUCUUCUCCACUGUACUGCCAUUGACCACAUGUGACUGAAACCAAGAAAAGUGAAAAGCCAGAUAAUGGGGACUGCUGGUAAUUCAACUUGUGGAGGUCAAGAGCUGCUGCCGAAAGCAUGGGGCCAGGGACUCUGCCACCUGGUCCUUGGAACUGCACAGGGAACCCUUUGGAGGCACAGUCUGUGAAACGGAGGCGAACACCACACACCUCACAGGAGCAUAAAGAUUAAGCCCACUGCUGCUGCCUACUGGAGGUGAGAGGCCCUCCAGCCCACAUUCACAGAUGCCAGCUCUGGUUCCUGCCACGGCCCUACAUCACUGCCUGCAAUGCCCCGGUGCCACCAC